rnacentral:rRNA from 1 species
UACGAAGGGGGCUAGCGUUGUUCGGAUUAACUGGGCGUAAAGCGCGCGUAGGCGGGUUUUUAAGUCAGGGGUGAAAUCCCAAGGCUCAACCUUGGAACUGCCUUUGAUACUGGAAAUCUUGAGUCCGGGAGAGGUGAGUGGAACUGCGAGUGUAGAGGUGAAAUUCGUAGAUAUUCGCAAGAACACCGGUGGCGAAGGCGGCUCACUGGCCCGGUACUGACGCUGAGGUGCGAAAGCGUGGGGAGCAAACAGGG